rnacentral:rRNA from 1 species
CCCUUAGAUGCUCUGGGCCGCACGCGCGCUACACUGGUCGAUGCAACGAGUUUCUUUCCUUGGCCGACAGGCCUGGGCAAUCUUUGAACAUCGAUCGUGAUCGGGAUAGAUUCUUGUAAUUUUUGAUCUUAAACGAGGAAUUCCUAGUAAACGCAAGUCAUCAGCUUGCAUUGAUUACGUCCCUGCCCUUUGUACACACCGCCCGUCGCACCUACCGAUUGAAUGGUCCGGUGAAAUCUCCGGACUGGUGUGAGUCGGAGCAAUCUGACAAACGCCGGAAAGUUGAUUAAACCUUACCAUUUAGAGGAAGGUGAAGUCGUAACA